UUAUAUUAAAAUCACAUUUAAAAUUCAGGAUAGGUCUUAUUUUCGGGGAAACACGGUAGAUGAUAUGCUCUGAUUUAGGAUAGAUACAAAGCAUAGGCAAAAAGUGGGAUGAAAAUACAAAUUCGCAUUUAUAGUAUUAUAGCAAGCGAAGUCGUAAAGAAUGCGGUACCGGUAUCUACUGUGACAGAAUGCCUACCCGUACUACUUCAUUUUGGCUUUCGUGUCCAUAUAUUUGAGUAUCACUCUCUUAUUUCAAUGCGCUUUUGGUGGAAGCUCGCCUAUUAUUUUAUCUUUUUUUUUAAUUUCAAGAUAGUUUACAAAUAAAUUAAUAAUCUAAAUGGUAUUUAAAAAUGCUUUUGUCCACAAAGCUUGCUUCAUACCUCGUAAACAGAAGGAAGAAAAUAUUAUUAGGUUUCAUUAUAACGUCAUUUUUCAUUGUGACGUUUAAAACAGUUAAAAGGAAUCAAGAUCAUAUUUAUUCGCUCAUAAACAGUUUUAAAUCGAAAGAAGAUUUUAUUUUCGAUUUCUUCAAUCGAACUGAAAACGAUGACACGAAAGUUUUCUCACUGGACAAUUUUACUUCCUACUUCGAUGAUAUAUCCAACGAAUUGGAAAAGUAUGACUUGCCGCUUUGUCCAGAAAAACCUCCCGGACUAAAAGGCAAUCUUAAAAGGCCGUAUUAUUUGGAUUUUUCACCACCGACAUUAGAAAAAAUUUCUAUAGACAACCCAGAAUUGUCUAUCGGUGGGAGAUACGCUCCAAAGCACUGUCGUCCACGAUUCAAACUUGCUAUUAUCAUUCCCUUACGCGGGCGCAUACAUCAGCUCCGAGUACUCUUAGCGCAUAUGCACCCAAUAUGGCAGCGGCAGCAAUUGGAUUAUACUGUAUACAUUAUGUGGCAGAGCGGGGAGCAUCUGUUCAAUAAGGCUAAACUACUGAAUGCUGGAUUUCUGGAGGCGAACAAGGAUCGAAAAUAUGAUUGCUAUGUUUUUCAUGAUGUCGAUAUGCUUCUGGAGAACGAUGAAUGUCUGUACUGGUGCCCAAGUGUUGACAAUCCUCGCAGUUUGUCCAUUUACGUUGACAAAUUUUUCCAUCGUUAUAAAACCUACCAACCGAAGUGUAUACCAAGUACUUUCCCAAGGAGCGAAAAUGUUCACUACUUUGGAGGAGUUGCCAUGGUUACAACAUCACAAUUCCGGUCCACUAACGGUUUCUCGAACAUUUACUGGGGUUGGGGCGGUGAAGAUGAUGACUUGUUCAUACGCUUAUGGAAUAAGGUACAUUCAACAAUUCAGGAUACCGCCUCCAUAAUCCUCAUGGAAAGAAUUGUUCUUAUCAUAUGAUUCUUCAUCAAACCGAAAAAUCGAAUGCAGAAAAUAAAGGGCAUUUUGCAUUGAUGGCGCACGCCAUCUCGCGGAUGAAGUACGAGGGAUUAAACACCCUAAGAUACAAACGCGUGUCAACCAAACGGGAACCGCUUUUUACGAAUAUAACCAUAGACGUCGGACAACCAAUCAAACAAUACGUUGACUUCAUGAUGUAUAACGCUACUGAGAACGAAAUAUGUCAUCGUUCAAUGCCGUGGUACUUCAAGCACUACAACUGAUAAACUUGAGGGCUUCAUUAUGCAAUAUUAAGUUUGUUGUGCAGUAUUUGGAGCAAUUCUAUCUCUGACCCAGAGGACGGGUGUGGAAAUUGAGGCCCGCGGGCUAAAUACGGCCCACUAGGAAAAAUUGAGCGGCCCGCGGAGAAGUGCCUAUCUGGUACGUGCGCUGCAAAGCCUUCAUUCAUCAUCUAUACCUGUGACGUUACAAUGCCCUAACAGCUAUCUGUUGCGAAGCGAACAACGCAUGCCAUAAGAUCACUAACAAGAAUUUUCUGGUACUCAUGUGGUAUGUGAAUCAAGAUGGCGAACACCGGAACGUAGUAUGUGUACCAGGUUAGGGUUAGGCUAUCAUUUCAGGUACAAAUACUACGGGAGUCACUUGGCUAGUCCCCGAACUCGUAAUAGAACUAAAAUAAGAAAAGUUAGAAUAAAAUUAUGUCCUAACUCUAACCUGGUACACAUACUACGUUCCGGUGUCCGCCAUCUUGGUGCACAUACUACGGGAGCGCCAAAUUUUUGUGUGAGCACUUAAUGGAAAGACUUUGUUAAAUAAUGGGGCGUGGUUUUACCCAGUUGUUUGUAUCUGGCCCCUUCUGUAUCAAAGGUUGUACACCCGUGCUCAAAUAUAUGAACACGAAAGUCGAAUGUCAUUUAAAUAUAUCCCCACGAAUAAAAUAAAACAACAAAACAGAACUUUGCUGCAUCCCAGACAAAAUGAAGAAGAAAAUAUAAAAUGUUGAUACAAAAUGUCAUCAUUGGCGAUGGUAAAUGUCUCCGUGGAUUAGAAUAAAACAGAAUACUCGAUUGUUUUUCGAUGAAAAUAGCAAUGAAUAGUUGCUUUGAAACAGUGGCCCGCGGGCCAAUUACGGCCCGCGUAACGAUUUAACAUGGCCCGCCGAACUCGAGAGUGAAAUAAGCCAACAUUUUUUUCUGUUUGCGUUUUAGAUACCGCCAAUUGUUACGUCAUUAUCAUAGUUAAAGCACGUGCGUAUUCCUAAUAAUUCAACGAUACAGGUAUCUUAUUAUACGUACCGGUAUCGUUAUUGGCCUCUUGCCGGAACUCCCUUCUUCUGACCCGCGAAUAUCCUUCCGCCUCUAAUUUUGCCCCCGGUCAAUCAACUUUGGGAACCAUUGAAAUGUAAUCGCUCG